rnacentral:rRNA from 1 species
GACGAACGCCGGCGGCGUGCCUAAUACAUGCAAGUAGAACGCACAGUUUAUACCGUAGCUUGCUACACCAUAGACUGUGAGUUGCGAACGGGUGAGUAACGCGUAGGUAACCUGCCUGGUAGCGGGGGAUAACUAUUGGAAACGAUAGCUAAUACCGCAUAAUAUUGAUUAUUGCAUGAUAAUUGAUUGAAAGAUGCUAUUGCAUCACUACCAGAUGGACCUGCGUUGUAUUAGCUAGUAGGUGAGGUAACGGCUCACCUAGGCGACGAUACAUAGCCGACCUGAGAGGGUGAUCGGCCACACUGGGACUGAGACACGGCCCAGACUCCUACGGGAGGCAGCAGUAGGGAAUCUUCGGCAAUGGACGAAAGUCUGACCGAGCAACGCCGCGUGAGUGAAGAAGGUUUUCGGAUCGUAAAGCUCUGUUGUAAGAGAAGAACGGGUGUGAGAGUGGAAAGUUCACACUGUGACGGUAUCUUACCAGAAAGGGACGGCUAACUACGUG